UACGGGGGGAGCAAGCGUUGUUCGGAUUUACUGGGCGUAAAGGGCGCGUAGGCGGUCAGCACAAGUCAAUUGUGAAAUCUCCGAGCUUAACUCGGAAAGGUCAACUGAAACUGUGCGACUAGAGUGCGGAAGGGGCAACUGGAAUUCUUGGUGUAGCGGUGAAAUGCGUAGAUAUCCGGAGGAACACCGGUGGCGAAGGCGGCUUCCUGGACCGACACUGACGCUGAGGCGCGAAAGCGUGGGGAGCAAACGGG
rnacentral:rRNA from 1 species